rnacentral:rRNA from 1 species
UACAGGGGGGGCAAGCGUUGUUCGGAAUUACUGGGCGUAAAGGGCUCGUAGGCGGCCAACUAAGUCAGACGUGAAAUCCCUCGGCUUAACCGGGGAACUGCGUCUGAUACUGGAUGGCUUGAGAUUGGGAGAGGGAUGCGGAAUUCCAGGUGUAGCGGUGAAAUGCGUAGAUAUCUGGAGGAACACCAAUAGCGAAGGCAGCUCGCUGGGACGGUACUGGCGCUAAGGCGCGAAAGCGUGGGGAGCGAACAGG